rnacentral:pre_miRNA from 1 species
UAUAAGAGAUUUUGAGUUUUUACAUGCAACGUUUGAACACUCGUCUUAUUUAAAAUUUUUGAAAUUAUUAUUUAUUUUAUUUGUGACUUACUUUAUUAUCUACAGUACUUUAAGACAACUUUUCAUUUUUUAUAUUUGUAAAAAAAAUUUAAAUAAGACGAGUGGUCAAAUGUUGCAAGCAAAAACUCAAAAUCCCUUAUA